UUAAGCGACUAAGCGUACACGGUGGAUGCCCUGGCAGUCAGAGGCGAUGAAGGACGUGCUAAUCUGCGAUAAGCGUCGGUAAGGUGAUAUGAACCGUUAUAACCGGCGAUUUCCGAAUGGGGAAACCCAGUGUGUUUCGACACACUAUCAUUAACUGAAUCCAUAGGUUAAUGAGGCGAACCGGGGGAACUGAAACAUCUAAGUACCCCGAGGAAAAGAAAUCAACCGAGAUUCCCCCAGUAGCGGCGAGCGAACGGGGAGCAGCCCAGAGCCUGAAUCAGUGUGUGUGUUAGUGGAAGCGUCUGGAAAGGCGCGCGAUACAGGGUGACAGCCCCGUACACAAAAAUGCACAUGCUGUGAGCUCGAUGAGUAGGGCGGGACACGUGGUAUCCUGUCUGAAUAUGGGGGGACCAUCCUCCAAGGCUAAAUACUCCUGACUGACCGAUAGUGAACCAGUACCGUGAGGGAAAGGCGAAAAGAACCCCGGCGAGGGGAGUGAAAAAGAACCUGAAACCGUGUACGUACAAGCAGUGGGAGCACGCUUAGGCGUGUGACUGCGUACCUUUUGUAUAAUGGGUCAGCGACUUAUAUUCUGUAGCAAGGUUAACCGAAUAGGGGAGCCGAAGGGAAACCGAGUCUUAACUGGGCGUUAAGUCGCAGGGUAUAGACCCGAAACCCGGUGAUCUAGCCAUGGGCAGGUUGAAGGUUGGGUAACACUAACUGGAGGACCGAACCGACUAAUGUUGAAAAAUUAGCGGAUGACUUGUGGCUGGGGGUGAAAGGCCAAUCAAACCGGGAGAUAGCUGGUUCUCCCCGAAAGCUAUUUAGGUAGCGCCUCGUGAACUCAUCUCCGGGGGUAGAGCACUGUUUCGGCAAGGGGGUCAUCCCGACUUACCAACCCGAUGCAAACUGCGAAUACCGGAGAAUGUUAUCACGGGAGACACACGGCGGGUGCUAACGUCCGUCGUGAAGAGGGAAACAACCCAGACCGCCAGCUAAGGUCCCAAAGUCAUGGUUAAGUGGGAAACGAUGUGGGAAGGCCCAGACAGCCAGGAUGUUGGCUUAGAAGCAGCCAUCAUUUAAAGAAAGCGUAAUAGCUCACUGGUCGAGUCGGCCUGCGCGGAAGAUGUAACGGGGCUAAACCAUGCACCGAAGCUGCGGCAGCGACGCUUAUGCGUUGUUGGGUAGGGGAGCGUUCUGUAAGCCUGCGAAGGUGUGCUGUGAGGCAUGCUGGAGGUAUCAGAAGUGCGAAUGCUGACAUAAGUAACGAUAAAGCGGGUGAAAAGCCCGCUCGCCGGAAGACCAAGGGUUCCUGUCCAACGUUAAUCGGGGCAGGGUGAGUCGACCCCUAAGGCGAGGCCGAAAGGCGUAGUCGAUGGGAAACAGGUUAAUAUUCCUGUACUUGGUGUUACUGCGAAGGGGGGACGGAGAAGGCUAUGUUGGCCGGGCGACGGUUGUCCCGGUUUAAGCGUGUAGGCUGGUUUUCCAGGCAAAUCCGGAAAAUCAAGGCUGAGGCGUGAUGACGAGGCACUACGGUGCUGAAGCAACAAAUGCCCUGCUUCCAGGAAAAGCCUCUAAGCAUCAGGUAACAUCAAAUCGUACCCCAAACCGACACAGGUGGUCAGGUAGAGAAUACCAAGGCGCUUGAGAGAACUCGGGUGAAGGAACUAGGCAAAAUGGUGCCGUAACUUCGGGAGAAGGCACGCUGAUAUGUAGGUGAAGUCCCUCGCGGAUGGAGCUGAAAUCAGUCGAAGAUACCAGCUGGCUGCAACUGUUUAUUAAAAACACAGCACUGUGCAAACACGAAAGUGGACGUAUACGGUGUGACGCCUGCCCGGUGCCGGAAGGUUAAUUGAUGGGGUUAGCCGCAAGGCGAAGCUCUUGAUCGAAGCCCCGGUAAACGGCGGCCGUAACUAUAACGGUCCUAAGGUAGCGAAAUUCCUUGUCGGGUAAGUUCCGACCUGCACGAAUGGCGUAAUGAUGGCCAGGCUGUCUCCACCCGAGACUCAGUGAAAUUGAACUCGCUGUGAAGAUGCAGUGUACCCGCGGCAAGACGGAAAGACCCCGUGAACCUUUACUAUAGCUUGACACUGAACAUUGAGCCUUGAUGUGUAGGAUAGGUGGGAGGCUUGGAAGUGUGGACGCCAGUCUGCAUGGAGCCGACCUUGAAAUACCACCCUUUAAUGUUUGAUGUUCUAACGUUGACCCGUAAUCCGGGUUGCGGACAGUGUCUGGUGGGUAGUUUGACUGGGGCGGUCUCCUCCUAAAGAGUAACGGAGGAGCACGAAGGUUGGCUAAUCCUGGUCGGACAUCAGGAGGUUAGUGCAAUGGCAUAAGCCAGCUUGACUGCGAGCGUGACGGCGCGAGCAGGUGCGAAAGCAGGUCAUAGUGAUCCGGUGGUUCUGAAUGGAAGGGCCAUCGCUCAACGGAUAAAAGGUACUCCGGGGAUAACAGGCUGAUACCGCCCAAGAGUUCAUAUCGACGGCGGUGUUUGGCACCUCGAUGUCGGCUCAUCACAUCCUGGGGCUGAAGUAGGUCCCAAGGGUAUGGCUGUUCGCCAUUUAAAGUGGUACGCGAGCUGGGUUUAGAACGUCGUGAGACAGUUCGGUCCCUAUCUGCCGUGGGCGCUGGAGAACUGAGGGGGGCUGCUCCUAGUACGAGAGGACCGGAGUGGACGCAUCACUGGUGUUCGGGUUGUCAUGCCAAUGGCACUGCCCGGUAGCUAAAUGCGGAAGAGAUAAGUGCUGAAAGCAUCUAAGCACGAAACUUGCCCCGAGAUGAGUUCUCCCUGACUCCUUGAGAGUCCUGAAGGAACGUUGAAGACGACGACGUUGAUAGGCCGGGUGUGUAAGCGCAGCGAUGCGUUGAGCUAACCGGUACUAAUGAACCGUGAGGCUUAACCUU
rnacentral:rRNA from 1 species